CGUAGGGGACUAAGCGUUAUCCGGAUUUACUGGGCGUAAAGCGCAUGUAGGUGGCUUGACAAAUUGGACGUGAAAGCUCCCGGCUUAACUGGGAGAGGUCGUUCAAAACUGGCAAGCUAGAGGAUGGAAGAGGAGAGCGGAAUUCCCGGUGUAGUGGUGGAAUGCGUAGAUAUCGGGAGGAACACCAGUGGCGAAAGCGGCUCUCUGGUUCACCCCUGACACUGAGAUGCGAAAGCGUGGGGAGCGAACGGGAUUAGAUACCCCGGUAGUCCACGCUGUAAACGAUGGAGACUAGGUGUAGGCGGUCAUUAACCCCGUCUGUGCCGAAGCCAACGCGUUAAGUCUCCCGCCUGGGGACUACGGCCGCAAGGUUA
rnacentral:rRNA from 1 species